UGUCGAUGAUGAAAAAUUCAAGGCUUGUUUCUCAUGAACAUUCGCAGUGGCCGCCUGAUUGAGCUUUCGCCUUCGCCAGGCUUGAGAGCUCGUGUUGCUACUUUCCUUCCUUGGAUGUCUGAGAUC